ACUUAGAAGCAUUUUGCUUUUAACGUGGCUUUUGUUGAACACUAUUAUGAGAUGAGCUAUAAUUUCACUCUCAGGGUUUCAGAUGAGCUAUAAUUUAACUCUCAGAAUUUCAGCCUAUCCUGUGCCUCUCUCCAGAAAUGUUUGCAGAGGGUGAAAAUUAAAAGAAAGAAAAGAAACAAAGAAACAAAUAAAGGAUAAUUCUAGGAUAACUGAAAAAUGAAGAUGUAAACAAUUAUCUGCAAGCAGACAACACAGCUUAAGAAGCAAAUAUGCUUGGGAUUAUUUUGGACUCAGCGUGGGGAUGGUUCUUUGUUCACUCUGCUUCAUUCCCCAUGGUUUCGUUAUUGAUGGGAAAUUACUAAUGAAUAAAUAUAAGAAUUAAAUGAAAGGUCCUUUAAAAAAAUUAAAUGACUAUGUUUCCAUUGCAUUAUGUAUUUCCAACAACAUGUUUAUUAGCUAUUCUAUAUCUCUGUUGGAUAUUUUGGGAUGUGAACCUUGAAAUACCUACAUGAGUUCUGAGAUGAUGAUGAUCACUCGGUUCUUUGUCUAACAAUCUGUCAAGUGUUGUCUCUGGGGACCAGUCAGAAAUCAAGCGAGAUAGUUCAGUUAAGGGAAUUUAAUAAGGAACUGGUUACAAAAGCGCUGGAUGGGCCAGAAAGCCUAACUGGGGAAAGAGGGGAAGCCCAGUGAGAAGCAAUAGCAGAAAGCCUCUAUCCUCUACCUCUAGGGUUUGGAGAGACCAACAAGAGGGACUAGGUUAACAGAUCCCUGGAGUCAUUUACCCCAGAUGGUCCUAGAAUGGGAAUCACAGAGGAGAAGCAGUCACUAUGGGAGAAGCUUCCUGAUUCAGAGAAAGAGGCAAAUACCUUGGCUUCUCUUCUUCUGCCUGUGUUCCUAUUUUAUCUUUUUACCUUUCAUUAUCCUAAUUCUUUUUUGGCAUGGGCAAGUGAGUCUAAGAAAUGAAGCUGGCAGGAAUCAGCUUCCUUUAAUACAGACAGAAUAAGAGAAUGACAAAGAAUGAAUGAAUUUGACAGCAAGUAGGCCAAUGACUAGGCUUUCCAGGUGGCACUAGUGGUAAAAACAAAAACAAACAA